UACGAAGGGGGCUAGCGUUGCUCGGAAUGACUGGGCGUAAAGGGCGCGUAGGCGGAUGGCUUUGUCGGGCGUGAAAUUCCAGGGCUUAACCUUGGGGCUGCGUUCGAGACGGGUUGUCUUGAGUGGGGAAGAGGGUCGUGGAAUUCCCAGUGUAGAGGUGAAAUUCGUAGAUAUUGGGAAGAACACCGGGUGGCGAAGGCGGCGC
rnacentral:rRNA from 1 species